UACCAUGUCAGAUACAGCGGCAUAAGUGACUCAUACAAAUAAACCAAAAACUAGCCGCGAGAAAAGAAGACAAAACCAGCCCGGGAUUAUGUAAAUGAGCGGCAAAAAAGAAGAAGAAGUUCAGCGCGAACACGUAUGGGAGGCGGAGAUUUGAUGUCCAUACUGUUGAAAUUUCUUUAACCAAGCGCGUGCAGCAAUGUUUGCUUUCCAAGACCAGAAUGUAAAGCUGUCUGUGGAAGAAACACAUCCUGAUCCAAGAUAUGUUCAGCUUCAGGAUGAGGAAGGUCAACAGACGCUUUUACAUCAGGAAAUUCAAGGGACCCUCAGUGUGCUAAGAUUCCCAGGCAAGUUCCAUGAGCAAGGGACAAAACAUACCCUUUUCACCUGUAUGCACAUUCUUAUUGUUGUACUCAAAUUGCAUUCUUGUUACUAUGUUGGUUAUAAAGCUCAGUACUCAAGUUUCCAGUAACAUUACUUAAUCAUGUAAUUUAGAGUCAGUAGUACAGUGCUUUAUAAUAUUAAGCCAUAUAAAUGAGCCAUCCAAGCAUUAUUUUUGUCAGAACCAACCGAACAUGCAAUUUCUUGUAAGGGAUUUUUAAUUUUAAUUGAUUAUGAAAGCCAUCAGAGUAAGGAGUCAAUGAAGUAUCAGAUAUGUGUUUGUUUAUAUGAACUGAACCAGCUCUACAAGAGAGUCUUCAAACAGCCGGUCUGCCAUGAUGCUUGAUGAGGAAUGCCUCAUCAACUUGCCUUAGAAGAUGGAUCACUGCCAUCAGCAGAGUAUUCAGGUGCUGGCAUCGCUCAGACCGUAAUGUGCAGUUAUCCGUGGAAGAAACGGUGCUGUGUUCUCAUCUAAGCUCCGUGCAGCCCUGGGUUCUGAAUGAAGAUGACGGAGGAAUGAUUUUGCACCACAUUCAACCACGCAGUUAGGCCUGUCGAUGUCACUGUCUAUACAAUUAUACAAUUAAAUUAUGUUUUUAAUAUAAAUCAGUUUUGUAUAUUUGUGAUAGAUAAAUAAAUGUAUAUAACUGCUAAAGAAGUGUCCAUUAUUUUCUUUUUAUUUCCUUUUUUAUCUUUUUACUAGGUCUUCAUGAUCUGGCU